rnacentral:lncRNA from 1 species
CUGAGUGCUGUAAUUGAAAACCUUUCUAUUUUCUGUUUCCAGGAGAUAAUUCGUCGUCCUUUCCACCCAUGUCCAAGAAAGCCUGCUCGCACCACCACAUACCCACCUAAAGUGACCACAGAGGCUGUGAGCAGAGCAUGGAGCACAAGCCAGAGUCUGAUUACUUCAGCAGGGCCUGUUUAUUCGGUGAAUCCCCUGACUACAACUGCUGCAGCUCCUUUUACUGCCUCAACGACAACGCCUGCAACACCGGUUGUGACCACUACCACCACAUACCCACCUAAAGUGACCACAGAGGCUUUGAGCAGAGCAUGGAGCACAAGCCAGAGUCUGAUUACUUCAGAAGCGCCUGUCGAUUCGGCCAAUCCCCUGACUACAACUGCUGCAGCUCCUGUUACUGCCUCAACGACAACGCCUGCAACACCUGUUGUGACCACUAGGGUCACCGGUGUCAUUAGCACAACUGAAGAAAGGGGUGACAUCUAAAACAACCUCAAAGUGCCAAAGAAGGUUUUGGAAAUAAUUCUUCAUCUUUUAUAUUUGGAGGAGAUGUCUGCACAUGGCUUCUCUUUCCAAAGACAGGGCUGUCAUUUCCUGAUUAAAAGUGCAGAAAAAUGUCGCGUUUUAACAAAUGUUCGCUUCUUCCUCUUGGUUGACAUUGUUGGAGCGUCUGAAACAUGUGCUGUAUUCAGAGAGUGGUCAGGUGUAUUGACUCACAAAUACCGCACAGUUUUUCUUAGUAUUUAAAAUUGUUUUUGCCACGGGCGAACACUUUAUUUUUAUAUGUUUUUAUUAAAUAUACUUUUUAAAAUAUUAAAUAUUUGUCCUGGCUUCAUUAUAACCCAUGCCUAUGUACCUUUUCUCC